rnacentral:other from 1 species
AGAGUCCUGAAGUGUUUGUAAAGGAACCAUAUGUUUUGACCGAACAUAGUUUUGAAGGGAGCCCAAUAGGUUUUCCACCGGCGUGCAUGCCUCUGUAACGUGGACGCACAAAAGUGGAAACAGGGCACCCACCUGCUUGGAGCGGGUUCAAAACUCGGGUUCUAGCGGCACAAUUGGGACUCUC